UACGGGGGGGGCAAGCGUUGUUCGGAAUUACUGGGCGUAAAGGGCUCGUAGGUGGCCAACUAAGUCAGACGUGAAAUCCCUCGGCUUAACCGGGGAACUGCGUCUGAUACUGGAUGGCUUGAGUUCGGGAGAGGGAUGCGGAAUUCCAGGUGUAGCGGUGAAAUGCGUAGAUAUCUGGAGGAACCCCGGUGGCGAAGGCGGCAUCCUGGACCGACACUGACGCUGAGGAGCGAAAGCCAGGGGAGCAAACGGG
rnacentral:rRNA from 1 species